rnacentral:rRNA from 1 species
UUAGGGUAAAGGGGGAGCUUGCUCCCGGAUGUUAGCGGCGGACGGUGUUUAGUAACACGUGGGUAACCUGCCUGUAAGACUGGGAUAACUCCGGGAAACCGGAGCUAAUACCGGAUAGUUCCUUGAACCGCAUGGUUCAAGGAUGAAAGACGGUUUCGGCUGUCACUUACAGAUGGACCCGCGGCGAUUAGCUAGUUGGUGGGGUAAUGGCUCACCAAGGCGACGAUGCGUAGCCGACCUGAGAGGGUGAUCGGCCACACUGGGACUGAGACACGGCCCAGACUCCUACGGGAGGCAGCAGUAGGGAAUCUUCCGCAAUGGACGAAAGUCUGACGGAGCAACGCCGCGUGAGUGAUGAAGGUUUUCGGAUCGUAAAGCUCUGUUGUUAGGGAAGAACAAGUGCGAGAGUAACUGACUCGCACCUUGACGGUACCUAACCAGAAAGCCACGGCUAACUACGUGCCAGCAGCCG